GACGAACGCUGGCGGCGUGCUUAACACAUGCAAGUCGAACGGAAAGGCCUCUUUCGGGGGGUACUCGAGUGGCGAACGGGUGAGUAACACGUGAGUAACCUGCCCUUGACUUUGGGAUAACUUCAGGAAACUGGGGCUAAUACCGGAUAGGAGCUCCUGCUGCCGGGUGGGGGUUGGAAAGUUUCGGCGGUUGGGGAUGGGCUCGCGGCUUAUCAGCUUGUUGGUGGGGGAGUGGCUUACCAAGGCUUUGGCGGGUAGCCGGCCUGAGAGGGUGACCGGCCACAUUGGGACUGAGAUACGGCCCAGACUCCUACGGGAGGCAGCAGUGGGGAAUAUUGCACAAUGGGUGGAAGCCUGAUGCAGCAACGCCGUGUGCGGGAUGACGGCCUUCGGGUUGUAAACCGCUUUCGCUCAUGACGAAGCUUUGUGUGACGGUAGUGGGUAAAGAAGCACCGGCUAACUACGUG
rnacentral:rRNA from 1 species